rnacentral:lncRNA from 1 species
GGCCAGUGUGAGUUGAGGCAGAGACCUCUUCAGCACCGCCCCGAGACUUCAUCGGAUCAGGUAUGUAAGGAGACUCCUGAAUGAGACACCUUGCAAGAUCCAACCAGAGGAAAAAUCUAGAAAUAAGAGAGAACCACCCCCCCUAAAAAUACCACAAUCCUGCUCUGACAGAGGGACCUCAGACAAGCCCAGGAGCACACUCACAAUUAAUUAAACAAGGCCCUGUAUGGAUCGAACUGUGAUACAGAUACAUCAGAAGUUUUCUGAAAGAAAAGAAAAAGGUCUGUUUCCCAGCUCAGCCUCUGAGGUCUUGCUGCAUGCAUGUUCCUUGUCUAUUCCUAUCAGGCUUUGGAGACCUCUGAAGCUGCAUGGGCCACAGAAAGGCAGCAAUUUGCUCAAGGACAUGGAGGGCAGCGGUGAUGGAGCUGCAGAGGAAUCCUUGUUCCACCAGUUCCAGGCUGGUGAACCUGGGAAGAGAAAAGCAGCCGCUGAUUUAAUGGUGUGCAACGGGCUGAGACAAAGAGUGAAGCACCUGACUGUGUGAGCUGCAAGUAUGCCUGGCAAAAUGCAGGUGGUCAAAAUAGGUUGUGUGGGCUUGCAAUGCAGAGAAAUGGGGGAAAAACCUGUAUAUCUCCUGCCCACUUGUGAGUCUCACGCUUUCUCUGUUCUAUCUUUUAAAUACCUUUCCUUUGACGCCUGUGUAUUUGAUUAUGGAGAACAGUUUUGCAAGAUGGUGCACUGAAGCAAGCAGAAGCAGAGCUGUCAUAUUUGAAAGCUCCCUAACAGGCUCCAGUAUAGACCACUGUGCCAGAGGCAGGGCCAGAUACACAGGACUGGCAGUGGUGACAAAGACAGCUCUCUGCUUCUCUUGCCAGAAGAGUCCACGGUUUCUGAGAAGUGGAUAGGACGUUUCUUAUGGAUUUCACAGAAGGGCUGGGCUGUCUCAGGUUGGUAUGAAGGAGCUUUCCAGCUGCACAGAGAG